GGGAAAAAAACUGACAUCAUGCUGUAUGAUAGAUUACAAUUCUGAAUGCAUUAUGAUAUCAGAGAAGUUAAAAUAUCUUACCUUUCACCAUUCAUAGAAGUGAUUUUCACAACACUGUUUCUACAAGAAUAUAGAGCGUCACCAAUAGUUCAAUACUUCAGGUUACAGGUCGUUCCUUCCGCUUUACAUGUAUGACGGCGAUAAAAGGCGGCAGGAUUUGCAACACGAAAGUUGAGAGCGGGCUCAUCAGCACCGGCUAAAAACCUACCUGCAAUCAACAAUGACCAAGGAAAGACUGAACUAUUUGAUGAUCCUCCGUGUUCACAAGGUGACCACUGACAUUAUGAACUUAGAGACUGUGGCAAAUGAAUUUGUCAGUGGUAUGGAACACCGA